rnacentral:lncRNA from 1 species
UUUAUUUGUUAUAAACUUAUGUUAUAAGUUGUUUGUUCCAUACCAUUGCUGAUCCUCUUAGAGCUCACUGUUGGUGGGAUUAUUUUCUUAUUUAGACAUGUCUAUUGUAUAGGAGAGAGAGAAUUAGUAAGGUUAGGUGAAAGAAUCAUCAGAUUUGGAGUUAAAAUGAAAAAGUUAUGAAGGUUUGAAGUUGGGAGGUUUUUUUUGUUGCUACUGUUGCUCAGCCUUGGUGGUGGCUGCUAUUGAUGCUUUGUCCCUAUGCUGUUUUCAUCCAAUUGCAUCUAUUUUCAUCCAAUUGUGCGGUUUCCAUCUAGCAGUGCUAUCUUCAUCCGACUAUGCUAUUUGUCUUCAUCCGAUUGUGUUGUUUCCGUCCAACUGAACCUAUUUUCAUCCAAUAAUGCCUGUUUUCAUCCGAUUCCUUGUUCUAUCCAUUUUUUUCCUCAUCCAACUACUUCCAUUUGCUAGUUCUAUCUAAUUCUUUUCUUUUUCUUAUUGUUAUUUAUCACUUGUUCUAUGUUAAAUCAAUUGGUAACCAUUGCUUGGAGGGUAUUAUCUAGGAAAUUAUAAAUCAAUUGAUUAGAUAAU